CUGCUGCUCAUCUCAUUUACUUUUACAGAUGGAUUUGUUUUCUAUUUAAGUUUUCAAGACUGCUCACAUUUUGGAAAAGAGUGAAAGUAGCCUGCUGCACUUUUAUUGAUAGAACUAUGUUCGAAUUAGUUUUCAGAGAUGGAACAUUGACUGAAAAAAUCCUCACAAAGAUUGUCGUUCCCAUAAGAUCGUGUCUCAAUACCAUCCAAAAUUCUAUGACUACCGGAUUUUCAUUGAAUAAGAAAUUGUUAUUCGUAUGAGAAUAGGGAA